rnacentral:lncRNA from 1 species
AUGUAUUGUGUACCAAUCUGCAUCAAAGAACUGGACAGAAUGCAGGCUAAAAGUCUAAGAGUAUGUAGUGGGGCGUUUAGAACAUCUCCUGUACCAGCGCUACAAGUAGAGACAGAAGAAAUGCCAUUAAACCUCCAGCGCCUGAAAUUGUGUAUGGCUUAUUGGAUCAAUUUAAAAGGACAUAAUGCAUCACACCCUACUAAGGAAGUCCUAAGUGAGUGUUGGGAAUAUGGGAGAUCGCAGAUAUGUAGCUUUGGGUGGGAUGCCAACAGAUUAGCAAAUCAGUUAAAGAUAGAGGAUAUACAUUGUAGCAAGACCUUGCCUCUGGCAAUAACCCCACCUUGGUUGUUUUGUUCUCCCAGGGUAAUCAUAGAAACAAAAGAUAUGGUAGGGCAGUAUAUUGAGAAUAUGUGUUACAAUACUGCAAAAAUAUAUACAGACGCAUCAAAGGAUUCUGAGGGUAAGACUGGAAUUGGGGUGCAUAUUCCUGAAUCAGAGAUAUAUAUCAAAAAGCGAACUACUGAUCAUUUAUCUAUCUAUACUGCGGAGAUGGUAGCCAUUAUCAUUGCAUUGCAAUGGCUAGAAGAGGCUAGGCUCCUUAAAGCUGUUAUCUGCUCUGAUUCUAUGUCAUCAUUAACAUCUAUUCAGAAUGGUGAAUCAGGGUGUAGACAGGACCUCCUGAAUGAAAUCAAUCAAAUCAUGUUUACAAUUAAUCAACAGGGAACAAUAGUGCAGUUUGUAUGGGUCCCCACACAAAAAGGUUUAGAAGGGAAUGAACAAGCUGACAAACUUGCAAAAGAGGCAACAAAAGAAGAGGAAAUUCAAAUAAAUGUUCCACUUUGUAAGUCAGAGAUAAAGGUAAUAAUCAAACAAAAAAUGAAUGCAAUGUGGCAGUCUGAGUGGGAUCAGGAGAGGAGGGGUAGACAUUUAUAUAAAUUACAACAAGAAAUAUCAAGGAAAAGGACCAGUUACACAAAUAGACAGGAGGAGGUUUGGUUUAACAGAUUACGAAUAGGACACACUGGUUUAAAUAGCAAUUGA